GACUUUAGGUCUCCUGAAGGAACGUUGAAGACGACGACGUUGAUAGGCCGGGUGUGUAAGCGCAGCGAUGCGUUGAGCUAACCGGUACUAAUGAACCGUGAGGCUUAACCUU
rnacentral:rRNA from 1 species